AGCCGCAGCCUCUCCGUGCUCCCUCGCCUGGCUGAGCAGCGACCACCCAGCCACGUCACUUCCUGUGGUCGGGCCACACCCAUCUUCUCGGGCAGGAAGCGCCUCCUGGUACUCUGCACACAUGCUUCUGGGCCACGGAGAGUAGUACCCAGCUGCAUGUCAACUCCCCACUCUCCGGUGUCGAUGGACACUUAGGCUGCUUCCAAGAUGCAGCUACGAUGAACUCUGCUGCUGUGCACGUGAGUCUGCAUGGAUCUCUGUGAUG
rnacentral:lncRNA from 1 species